AUGUUCACGUCAGCCACAUGUAUACUAAAAUUAAAAUAAUAGAGAUAAGAUUAGAAUGGCCCCUAUGCAACGAUGGCACACAAUCCAUGGUGUCCUGUGUUUUUUAU
rnacentral:snRNA from 1 species